rnacentral:rRNA from 1 species
CAGGUCACUCCUACGGGAGGCAGCAGUGGGGAAUUUUGGACAAUGGGCGCAAGCCUGAUCCAGCCAUGCCGCGUGAGUGAAGAAGGCCUUCGGGUUGUAAAGCUCUUUCGGACGGAAAGAAAUCGCGCAGGUAAAUAAUCUGCGUGGAUGACGGUACCGUAAGAAGAAGCACCGGCUAACUACGUGCCAGCAGCCGCGGUAAUACGUAGGGUGCGAGCGUUAAUCGGAAUUACUGGGCGUAAAGCGUGCGCAGGCGGUUUUGUAAGACAGGUGUGAAAUCCCCGGGCUUAACCUGGGAAUGGCGCUUGUGACUGCAAGACUCGAGUGCGGCAGAGGGGGGUGGAAUUCCACGUGUAGCAGUGAAAUGCGUAGAGAUGUGGAGGAACACCGAUGGCGAAGGCAGCCCCCUGGGUCGACACUGACGCUCAUGCACGAAAGCGUGGGGAGCAAACAGGAUUAGAUACCCUGGUAGUCCACGCCCUAAACGAUGCCAACUAGGUGUUGGGGAAGGAGACUUCCUUAGUACCGAAGCUAACGCGUGAAGUUGGCCGCCUGGGGAGUACGGUCGCAAGAUUAAAACUUAAAGGAAUUGACG